GUCGGUGAUGCCGGAGGGGGCGGUCGGUGAUGCCGGAGUGCGGCGCGGGCGGGUGACGAGCGGGGAGAGGCGGGAUCGUCCCCGCCCCGGUCCCGCCUGCACGGGUGGACCUGCCUUCUCCUUCCCCGCAAUGAGUGACGGCUUGUCCGGUGCCGAGCCCCGUCGUCAUAGAAUCAUAGAAUAUCCUGAGUUGGAAGAGACCCACAAGGACCGUCCAGUCCAACUCCUGGCUCCGCACAGGACAACCCAAACUAUCACCCCUUAAGAGAGUUACGCUCUCCUGUGUUAACAGGCAUCUGCAAAUAUCGUCAGGAACGUUUUCGUUGUGCCUUCCUCUCUUUUCCUUUUUCCUGUUAUAAGCACCUUUGGAGUUAUAUGCUUAAAUCUAAUCGUGAAAUUAGCAGAUAUUCUCAUUAGACGCUGAUGACAAAUCUACAUAGAACCUUAUUCUUUCCUUUUGCUACUACAUACAAUCUUAUUCUUUCCUUUUGCCAGUGAAGGUUGGUGUGAGAAGAUGUCCACACAGUCAGCAGUCUUGCUCUGGAAUGGAAGGAAGCAGCAGAAGCUGGCAACAGGAAUGGGAUUGUGAUGAGCUGAAUUCUAUGGACAUGUUGUUAGAUCCUCCUGAGCUUUUUGCUGUAAACAGAGCAAAGUGUUUGGACUUUUUAGCAAUUAUUUAGAAGAAAAUCAGUGACAGACUGGGACUGUUGUGACGGAAAGACAUGAGGGGAAUGGAGAGACAUUCAUGAAGCACAUGAAUGCAAAGCAGCAAGAAAAAAA